rnacentral:lncRNA from 1 species
CAUCUUGGCGUACUUAGUAAGGUGCCCUCUUUGGAUCAAUUGUCCAAUUUCAUUGCCUAGUUCAUGGCAAUCAUCUAUAUGGUGGCCAUAGUUUCUUUGAACAUGGCAAUAUCGAGGCAUAUUCUGGCGGCAGUUAGGAGUAUUUAGACGACUUGGCCAACGUAAGAUUCAUUGAUCCUUACUCCAUAGCAAUCUGGCCUUGGGGCUUAAUCAGUGGUGUUGUGAUUUUAGCCGUUCUUUGAGAUGUGAAGGCCCGACUCUUUUUCUCCUUCUUCACUCUCUUUCUCAAUGAUGGGGAAUAUCGUCCUUUGCACUGUCGUGGCAGGAGAGACGAACAUGCUGAAGGUCCAGAGUCCCCUGUACAUCGAUUGACUUUUAGUGGCGCAGGUAUAGAAUUCUUCCUUAGUGGCGGGUCACUUUUUGCUGACAGAAGACAAGAAUGGAGAAAUUUGAAGCCCGGCUAAGGAGGUCUAAGAACUUGAUGGCCAUAGUGAAAAACAAAUAAAUAAAUAAAUAAAUAUUAAAAUUAAAAUAAUUUUAAAAAAUUGAAAAGAAAUAUAUUAAAAUGUUAUUCAAAGUGUGCACGUCAAUACCGCUAAUACCAUAUAGAACGGC